rnacentral:rRNA from 1 species
UGCGUAGGGGGCUAGCGUUGUCCGGAAUUACUGGGCGUAAAGGGCUCGUAGGCGGCCAACUAAGUCGGAUGUGAAAUCCCCAGGCUCAACCUGGGAACUGCAUCCGAUACUGGAUGGCUUGAAUUCGGGAGAGGGAUGCAGAAUUCCAGGUGUAGCGGUGAAAUGCGUAGAUAUCUGGAGGAACACCGGUGGCGAAGGCGGCGACCUGGUCCAUUACUGACGCUGAGGCGCGACAGCGUGGGGAGCAAACAGG